GGAUGUGAGGGCGAUCUGGUUGUGACAUCUGUCACCCCAUUGAUCGCCAGGGUUGAUUCGGCUGAACUGGCUGGCUAGGCGGGUGUCGCCUUCCUCCCUCACCGCUCCAUCUGCGUCCCUCCCAAAGCUGCGCGCUCGGUCGAAGAGGACGACCAUCCCCGAUAGAGGAGGACCGGUCUUCGGUCAAGGGUAUACGAGUAGCUGUGCUCCCCUGCUAGAACCUCCAAACAAGCUCUCAAAG
rnacentral:lncRNA from 1 species